GGACUAACGUUGGCGGCGUGCCUAAUACAUGCAAGUCGAGCGGAUCAGGGGGCAACUCCUGGUUAGCGGCGAACGGGUGAGUAACACGUGGACGAUCUACCUUUGAGUUAGGGACAACCAGCCGAAAGGUUGGCUAAUACCCAAUAUGACCACGACCCAUAUCACUGGGUUGCGGUAAAAGCCGGGGAUCGCAAGACCUGGCGCUUGAAAAUGAGUCCGCGUCUGAUUAGCUGGUUGGCGGGGUAAUGGCCCACCAAGGCGACGAUCAGUAGCCGGCCUGAGAGGGUGAACGGCCACACUGGGACUGAGACACGGCCCAGACUCCUACGGGAGGCAGCAGUAGGGAAUUUUCCACAAUGGGCGCAAGCCUGAUGGAGCAACGCCGCGUGAGGGAUGAAGGUCUUCGGAUUGUAAACCUCUUUGGGGUGGGAAGAACGAUUUCCGUGUUAACAGCGCGGGGAAGUGACGGUACCACUAGAACAAGACACGGCUAACUCUGUGCCAGCAGCCGCGGUAAUACAGAGGUGUCAAACGUUGUCCGGAAUUACUGGGCGUAAAGGGCGCGUAGGCGGCCUUAUAAGUCAGAUGUGAAAGCUCCGGGCUCAACCCGGGAAUUGCAUCUGAUACUGUAAGGCUUGAGUUCGGUAGAGGAGGGCGGAAUUCCAGGUGUAGCGGUGAAAUGCGUAGAUAUCUGGAGGAACACCCGUGGCGAAGGCGGCUCUCUGGUCCGAAACUGACGCUGAGGUGCGAAAGCUAGGGUAGCAAACAGGAUUAGAUACCCUGGUAGUCCUAGCUGUAAACGGUGAGUACUAGGUGUUGGAGGUAUUGACCCCUUCAGUGCCGAAGCUAACGCAUUAAGUACUCCGCCUGGGAACUACGAUCGCAAGAUUGAAACUC
rnacentral:rRNA from 1 species